rnacentral:tRNA from 1 species
GACCCCAUCGUCUAGAGGCCUAGGACACUACCCUUUCACGGUAGGUACCGGGGUUCCGAAUCCCCGUGGGGUCGCCA